rnacentral:rRNA from 1 species
GACAGAGGGUGCAAACGUUGUUCGGAAUUACUGGGCGUAAAGCGCGUGUAGGCGCCCCAGCAAGUCGGAUGUGAAAGCCCUGGGCUUAACCUAGGAAGUGCAUUCGAAACUGCUGGGCUUGAGUUCUGGAGAGGAAGGCGGAAUUCUCGGUGUAGAGGUGAAAUGCGUAGAGAUGUGGAGGAACACCAAUGGCGAAGGCAGCCUUCGUGGGCC